ensembl:lncRNA
ACAGGAAUCAGUUUUCUCAAAACAACCACUGGGUUGCUCUCAGGAAGUACUGUAUGAAUAUUAAUAUGGAUGCAAAUGCUCAGUGAGGAUGCCCAGCGCUUGAACCAGCACAGCGCGCUGACAUCUGCGCAUUUUUUGUUUUGACGUUUUUUUUUCUUCUUCUUUCUGUUCAUCCCCGCAUUUGUGAGCGUGUUUCUUUUGCGGAUGAUUUUGAAAGAAACACAGACACAAGGAUGAUGUCGGCUGGGGAGCAUUUUAACGUCGCAUUGAAUUGCAUAUUGGUUUUCAAUAAGAUCUCGCACCGGCCAGUCUACAGCGAUCCUCGGUAGUACAGUGCGCCGUUUAUCCCCCUAAAAAUGGAAGACCUUUCACGUCAAGAAAAGGCGUCAGUCCGGUGAUCGGCGUCUGAAUAUCUAAUUUUUUAUUUCCACGUCAAUUGACACAUCUGGGAAAGGAUUCAUUUCCCUUCCCUUCUGUUUACCAAGACAGCUGUGUCAUCAACAACCGGCGUGGUUUUGUUGUUGUCUGAUUUUUUUACGAGUCUGGGCAACUGGUUUAGGCGAUCGGCACAGUCUACCUCUGCGCCAGCCGUAGACUCUACAGCUAUCAAGCGGCUAAGGAAGAGAUGCUGACAGUGUUGCUAGGAGACCACACACAGCGACUAGUUCUGUCUGGGCAGUACGUUUCCCGCCUAAUCAUAUUCGUCUUCUUCCCCGUGUUGCUAUAUCAGUGAUUCUCUAUUUUGUUGGUUUCCCCCAUUUUUCACCGUGCCCCCUCCUCUCUCUCUCUCCAUUUCCCGCUGCCUCUGUCUCUCCUCCUCUCCUAGCUGUGUGUGUUUCAGGCUGCUCAUUCUUCCACUGAACGUUUUGCUCCAUCCUCAUGCACUGCUUCCUCACCGCCUCUCUCUUCUUC